GCCAUUAUAGCAAGCGUCUCCGUGCCAGAAGUGGCCGUUUCCAAGAAAAUAAAGUGAAAGUAAAGAGGAGGAAAGCAAAGAUCAGAAGAUGCCAAAUUACGUGUCGACGACCCCGGAAAAAAGAAGAUGAUUUUGCAGCAUCACCAGGGAAGAAGCUACCGGAAAUAUCGGAGUUCAUGACUGGCAUGAACCCCGAUAGGAAAAUUUCAGAGCCUUCGGUCCGUAGUAUUGUCAAACGUUUCAAUACGACGGGAGACCUGAGUUCCGCAGCCCGACGACCAGUCGUCCAGCCGUCGGAGUGACUAGAUGAAGAGACCAGGCUCAACAUCUGCCUAGCCUUUGAGGAAGGAAGCCAACCAGCGUCAAAGGUCGCCCAAGAGUUCGGAGUCUCUAAGUCGUCGGUACUGAAUAUUUUGCAUGAAACGGAUCACGGAUCAUAUAAGUUUCACCGUCACCAGGAAUUUAUGCCUGCGGCAAAUUAUUCUGCGGGCAAAUCAUCGAAGAGCUGAACGCCAAUGAGGGACUACCCAGCAGGAUCUGUUUCACAGACGAGAGUAUUGUGGUGUUGCAUGGGAGGCUAAAUCGUCGAAACGUUUUAGUUUGGUCCCGUAGCAACCCUCAUCUGGUGGUUCAGACAGCCACACAAUACCCGCCGAAGCUUAAUGUUUGGCUCGGCGUUCUUGAGAACUGUCUCAUCGGGCCCUUCCUCCUAGGUGAAAACCUCAAUGGCGAAAGGUAUCUUCGUCUACUCGGGGAGGACAUUAUCCCUGCUUUAAAGGCAGUGGAUGGUGAAAAACUCAUCUGGUUCCAGCAGGACGGUGCCCCCUAUACUACACAGCUGCCGGUUUACUUCAAAUACACAUCGUUUAUGGUUAGUAUUGUUCAUUUGUAUUGUCUACUUCUACAAAAUAUCACAACACGAUGCACAGAACGUUUUAUUAACAUCAUUUAUAUUUCAACACCUCAACAAUGGACGCUGUCUGGAAGAGCUUACACUACGACGGAGGUACGGGGAUCCCAAGUGAGUAGUGCCAUGCGGGACACAUGACUGAAGUCGUGAUUGGAAUAAAAUGAAUGUACCAUGAUCCUGAUUACGGUAAGUCCCACCCUCCUUUAUAAAUCUACUAUCAGAUACUCCGCAGUCAUUUUGAUUAUUUUUUACUCGGUUUGUGAUGGAGUCGACCUACCCUCUGGUAACAAAGUGGUGUGCAGAGACGACAUCUUUUCAUAUCUGAAUCGCAUAUCGCAAUGGAUGAACCUUACAUGCUGGAGAAAUGACCAACCAUCUUUCAUUUCACAGGCAUUUUGGUGUACAUAAAUUGAGUUAUUAUUGAUAUUACUGUCUCCACAAAAUUAUUAAACGAAUGUGGUUUUCUGUGAUCUUUGAAGAACUCGCUCUCUGUUGAAUUUCACAAUGUAUUUUGCUUGAUUAUUCAUUUAGAAAUUAAUUCUGUAAUUCAAAUGAGUAAUGAAAAUGAUAAAUGUUGAA